rnacentral:rRNA from 1 species
GGAUUCAUUGGGUUUAAAGGGUGCGCAGGUUGGAAUGUAAGUCAGUGGUGAAAUACUGCCGCUUAACGGUAGAGCUGCCAUUGAUACUGCGUUUCUUGAGUAUGGUUGAGGUAGGUGGAAUGUGUUGUGUAGCGGUGAAAUGCAUAGAUAUGACACAGAACGCCGAUUGCGAAGGCAACUUACUAAGCCAUUACUGACGCUGAGGCACGAAAGCGUGGGUAGCGAACAGGAUUAGAUACCCUGGUAGUCCACGCUGUAAACGAUGUUCACUCGCUGUUUGCGAUACACAGUAAGCGGCUGAGCGAAAGCAUUAAGUGAACCACCUGGGGAGUACGAUCGCAAGGUUGAAACUCAAAGGAAUUGACGGGGGCCCGCACAAGCGGAGGAACAUGUGGUUUAAUUCGAUGAUACGCGAGGAACCUUACCUGGGCUUAAAUGUAGAUUGCAUAGGGUAGAAAUAUCCUUUCCCUUCGGGGCUAUUUACAAGGUGCUGCAUGGUUGUCGUCAGCUCGUGCCGUGAGGUGUCGGGUUAAGUCCCAUAACGAGCGCAACCCCUAUCGUUAGUUGCCAGCGGGUCAAGCCGGGGACUCUAGCGAGACUGCCACCGUAAGGUGAGAGGAAGGUGGGGAUGACGUCAAAUCAGCACGGCCCUUAUGUCCAGGGCUACACACGUGUUACAAUGGCCGGUACAAAGGGCAGCUACUUCGCGAGAAGAUGCUAAUCUCGAAAGCCGGUCCCAGUUCGGAUUGGAGUCUGCAACCCGACUCCAUGAAGUUGGAUUCGCUAGUAAUCGCGCAUCAGCCAUGGCGCGGUGAAUACGUUCCCGGGCCUUGUACACACCGCCCGUCAAACCAUGGGAGCUGGGGGUGCCUGAAGUCUGCCACCGCAAGGAGCGGCCUAGGGUAAAACUAGUGACUGGGGUUAAGUCGUAACAAGGUAACC